CCUACGGGAGGCACCAGUGGGGAAUAUUGCACAAUGGGCGCAAGCCUGAUGCAGCCAUGCCGCGUGUAUGAAGAAGGCCUUCGGGUUGUAAAGUACUUUCAGUCGGGAGGAAGGUGGUGAGCUUAAUACGCUCAUCAAUUGACUUUACCGACAGAAGAAGCACCGGCUAACUCCGUGCCAGCAGCCGCGGUAAUACGGAGGGAGCAAGCGUUAAUCGGAAUUACUGGGCCUAAAGCGCACGCAGGCGGUUGAUUGAGUCAGAUGCGAAAUCCCCGGGCUUAACCCGGGAAUUGCAUCUGAUACUGGUCAGCUAGAGUCUUGUAGAGGGGGGUAGAAUUCCAUGUGUAGCGGUGAAAUGCGUAGAGAUGUGGAGGAAUACCGGUGGCGAAGGCGGCCCCCUGGACAAAGACUGACGCUCAGGUGCGAAAGCGUGGGGAGCAAACAGGAUUAGAUACCCGCGUAGUC
rnacentral:rRNA from 1 species